rnacentral:rRNA from 1 species
AACGAACGCUGGCGGCAGGCUUAACACAUGCAAGUCGAACGAGACCUUCGGGUCUAGUGGCGCACGGGUGCGUAACGCGUGGGAAUCUGCCCUUUGCUACGGAAUAACUCAGAGAAAUUUGUGCUAAUACCGUAUAAUGUCGUAAGACCAAAGAUUUAUCGGCAAAGGAUGAGCCCGCGUAAGAUUAGCUUGUUGGUGGGGUAAAGGCUCACCAAGGCGACGAUCUUUAGCUGGUCUGAGAGGAUGAUCAGCCACACUGGGACUGAGACACGGCCCAGACUCCUACGGGAGGCAGCAGUGGGGAAUAUUGGACAAUGGGCGAAAGCCUGAUCCAGCAAUGCCGCGUGAGUGAUGAAGGCCUUAGGGUUGUAAAGCUCUUUUACCAGGGAUGAUAAUGACAGUACCUGGAGAAUAAGCUCCGGCUAACUCCGUGCCAGCCGCCGCGGUAAGAC